CCAGUACCCGAGGCCAGAGCACAGCUCUGUGUGGUGAACCAGUGCUGCCAAACAAGACUCAGCUCCAGACUCAGCUUCAGGAUGCAGAAAGCCAAUUUAUUCCCACUGGCGUUGUCCUGAGGGCCCUGAAAAAUCUAGUCAGAUGCCAACCCUGAAUGGAAAGUUGGAAGAAGCUUCAUUCUUUUUUCUAGAGUCUAUGAGAAACAGUCAAAGAGAUUUAAAGAGUUCCCGAAGCCAGAGAAAGCUCUGAAGGAUUUUUGAUUCCCUUCUUCUUCUCCAUGGAAAAACAGAGUCUGCAGUGUUAGCACUGGUCCAGGAGAUUUGGAUACACUUUGCCAUUAUACGCAAUGUGUGUGAUGACUGUACACUCCCUCCACAGACAUUUUCCAAGUCAGCAGGGGUAGCUG